UGAGGAAUAUUGGUCAAUGGGCGAGAGCCUGAACCAGCCAAGUAGCGUGCAGGAUGACGGCCCUAUGGGUUGUAAACUGCUUUUAUGUGGGGAUAAAGUGCGUGACGUGUCAUGCAUUGCAGGUACCACAUGAAUAAGGACCGGCUAAUUCCGUGCCAGCAGCCGCGGUAAUACGGAAGGUCCGGGCGUUAUCCGGAUUUAUUGGGUUUAAAGGGAGCGUAGGCUGUCUAUUAAGCGUGUUGUGAAAUUUACCGGCUCAACCGGUGGCUUGCAGCGCGAACUGGGCGAAUUGAGUAUGCAGGAAGUAGGCGGAAUUCAUGGUGUAGCGGUGAAAUGCUUAGAUAUCAUGACGAACUCCGAUUGCGCAGGCAGCUUACUGUAGCAUAACUGACGCUGAUGCUCGAAAGUGCGGGUAUCAAACAGG
rnacentral:rRNA from 1 species